ACAUUGCGCGGAAAUGAUCUUGAGGUUUCACAAAGCUGCAAGCACAGCACUUUUGAAAGUCACGCAUGAGAAAUAUAUGCAGUCCAGUAACAGCAAAGUUGCUGCUAUAAAACCUUUGCAGAGUCUCCCUUAAGUAUAUAUCUCUGCUGAGUUCAGUUUUCUGGAAGUGCAGAAACAUCUGAGGAACUCAAAAGAGAUGUGCUGUAAAUCCGUGUUGAUCACAACUCUUUGUAAUGGCUUCAUGGAAGUUGAGCUUGGUCUUCAAUCCUUGUAAAUCGAUCAUAGGGGGCUCUCUUAACUAUAAGACAUUUAGUUUCCCUUUAGAGUAGUCCCAGGGGAAGGCAAACCCACUUUUUUAUGGCGACGGAAAUCAUUCUAUCUCUAGCCUCCCAGGGAAGCUGAAAAUGGGCUCUAGUUCUAUUAAUAGAUUAAUAGAUAGUAGAUUAGAGCCUCCUGUGUUCAUCACGAUGUGCGUAAGCUAUACGAAUUUUAAGGACUUCUUUUUUAAAGCCUAGGCUGCAAACGAAUUGUUGAUAGUGAUUCUGGCGUGUUGGAAAGAAUGGAUUAAUUGCUUAUGCAAUCCCUCUGUUACAUCUG